UGAAGCGGCAACAGCUCAAAUUUGAAAUCUGGCUUCGGCCCGAGUUGUAAUUUGUAGAGGAAGCUUUUGGUGAGGCACCUUCUGAGUCCCCUGGAACGGGGCGCCAUAGAGGGUGAGAGCCCCGUAUAGUCGGAUGCCGAUCCAAUGUAAAGCUCCUUCGACGAGUCGAGUAGUUUGGGAAUGCUGCUCAAAAUGGGAGGUAAAUUUCUUCUAAAGCUAAAUAUAGGCCAGAGACCGAUAGCGCACAAGUAGAGUGAUCGAAAGAUGAAAAGCACUUUGAAAAGAGGGUUAAAUAGCACGUGAAAUUGUUGAAAGGGAAGCGUUUUUGACCAGACUUGCGCCGUUCCGAUCAUCCGGUGUUCUCACCGGUGCACUCGGGGCGGCUCAGGCCAGCAUCGGUUUUGGUGGGGGGACAAAGGUCCGGGGAACGUAGCUCCUUCGGGAGUGUUAUAGCCCCGGGCGUAAUGCCCUCGCCGGGACCGAGGUUCGCGCAUC
rnacentral:rRNA from 1 species